AAAAGAACAUGGAUGUUAAAAACAAGUGUGGUGUGCCUUUCCUUUACAGCUACUCGGCUAAAUUGGGACUCCUUGUGUGUUCUGGUCAGACAACUCAAGUUCCUCAAAAUUCCGAGGAUUGUAAACUGAUUGUUGAAAUAUCAGUGCAAUCGACCAGCAGAUACCAGACAUCACGUGGACAGACAACCUUCUCCAUACCACAUACCUCCUCCAUUUUGGACAACCGACGUCACGCACCACCUGCUCCGUACUACACUCAUUGUACGCCAGACAUUUUGAACAAGUGAGAUCACAGACCACGUGCUCCAUACCAUGUGAGUAAUUGCGC